AUGAUUACUGCACUCAUAAUAUUUGUUUAUGAGUGCAGGAACAGGAGCUGCUCGAGUCUCUUGUCGAAGCUGAUACGAGAAGGCAGGAAAGAGCUAAAAAGAUGGAAGAAAAGAAAGUGUAUCUGCAACUGUACGAAGCAAUGGAGGCGCUGGUCAAGAUCGAUCUGGAGACCAACAAGAUCAUGGACUUCAUCAAGUUUGACGUCGGCAACGUGGUCAUGGUGACUGGCGGGAGGAACACCGGGCGUGUAGGAGUCAUCAAGAACAGGGAGAAGCACAAGGGCAGCUUUGAGACCAUCCACGUGCUGCUUGGAGCUUUUUGCUAUGUCUAGUUUUCUCGUAUUUGUUGUACAGGAAAACAUAGAAUAGAAUUCAAAUUUGGUGGUCGCAAAAGUGUGGAGACUUUAAUUCAUAUAAAGUUAGGCUUAACAUUAGUGCAAACAGUUGUAUUUUAGUUUAGAUUUAGAGUACACUUAUGUAU